AUAAGCUGACGAGUCCCAAAAUAGGACGAAACGCGCGUCCUGAAU
rnacentral:hammerhead_ribozyme from 1 species